UCUGCGGAGUGGAAAGUGAGCCAAGCUAAGAAUUGGGAAGUAUACAGGAGUUUUCAAGAAAUUUCCUAGCUCACCAGCACUAGGCCAAAGGACUAGAACCGGAUCGAGGGUCUUUAGAUUUAAUUUUAAUUAAAUUUAAUAAAUUUUUUUUUUUGAAGGGAAAAUUCUGAACUAGACCACCUCAACUCACCAUCAUCAAAUUAUAGCUUAACUUUAUAAUGUUCUUUGGGUCUAUGAAAAUGAAAUCUUAAUCAUUUGGUUCCAUUAGAAUUUUUUGUCAUAUAACUUUAUAAUAGAAAUUUUCUUUAGUUAAUUACUUUUACUGCUUUAUCUUUGAUCAACCAAUACUCAUCUCAAAUUCAAAUUUGCUUACAUGAAAUGACUUCUGCAAGUGUAUUGGAGUAUUUAAGAGAAAUGGCAAGCAUUGCAAAGACUUUGCUGAGGUCAAUACUGAAAAUGGUAAAUUCAGUAAUGGAAAUAGUUGGGAUUGCAAUGAUUCUAUAUGGUCUUUGGAUGGCUAGAGUCUGGCAAACAGAUAUGGAAGGCUCAUCUAUUGAUGGUUAUGACUCUACUGCUCCAUGUUACCUCUUUAUCUUCAGCAAGUUUUUCACUUAUGCUUCUUGUUCUGUUCAUUUUUCUCUUUCUGAAGCUGGAACUCACUAGCAUAUAUAUAUAUAUACUCCCAUAAAUUCCAGGUUUAUAUACACUUUUCUUAGCGUUGGCAUUACUUUGUGCGUUGUAACUUGCAUAGUCCAUAUUUCUGCAGAUAGCUCAAAUGGUUUAUACCUCUCUUGCGUAUCCUUUUUCACCCUUCAUAGGGUGUGAAAUGAGUUGAGCCAAUUGUGAGCUACUUGAGUUCGGCUCAAAAAAUACUUGAAAUUUUUUUGAGUUGAAGUAAUUAGAAGAGAUUUGAAUUAAGAGUCUGAGUUUUAAAUUUUAGAAUCGAGUCGAGCUUGAACUUUACAUUGUAUUGACUCUAUUCAAUUAGAUUGAUGCAAUUCAAACAACAUAUAUUAAACAAAAUCAUGCCCAUGUUAAAAAUUUUUUCUUUUUCUAAUUACCUUAAUAGAAGAUGCAGUAUACAGUUAUUAUCUCUGUGCUUCUCUUGUUGGAAACAGCAGUUGCAGCUGAUAUACUCCUUAAUUCUGAGUGGGAAAAGGAUUUACCUGAGGAUCCAACGGGAAGAUUCCAUGAUUCCAAAAAACUUGUGGACUCAAAUUUUGAUAUCUUCAAAUGCAUAGGGAUCUUGCAACUUAUUGGCAAUGGCUUUGAGAGCUCUUGGACUAAAUUAUGGAUCCAACUAUGAUAUGAUGAUGAAUACCCUCCAACCAGGCUUCCACUAAUUAAUCACCAUUUACAGCCACCUUCAUUUGUUGUUGGAGAUUCACACUUCGUCACCAAGAAUGAUGCAUGGAAUGUAGGGAUUCAUUCUCAGACAGACAAGUGAGCAAAAAAACUGGAGAACAGCAUGCUGUCGUUGAGAUGAAGGAUUCACUUAGAAAAUCAAAUAUUAGACACGAAAAUGGAAUUGAUGAAGAUUGCAGAAUUUUGUUGAAGUAAAUGCUGGCCACUGUUGUAUUAAGGAGUGGGAUUUAUUUGUUUCCGACCACCACACACUUUCCAAUUACAGUUUGAUGGACCGAACUUAUAAGCCCACACCAACUGUUUUUCAAAGCUUUGUUUUGGAAUGACUUGCUUCAGCCCAGAACCAGGCCCA